GACGAAGGAUGCAAGCGUUAUCCGGAUUCAUUGGGUUUAAAGGGAGCGUAGGCGGCCUUAUAAGUCAGUGGUGAAAUCUUUGGGCUUAACCCAAAAAUUGCCAUUGAUACUGUAGGGCUUGAGUACAGUUGCUGUGGGCGGAAUAUGACAUGUAGUGGUGAAAUACAUAGAGAUGUCAUAGAACACCGAUUGCGAAGGCAGCUCACAAAACUGUAACUGACGCUGAGGCUCGAAAGUGCGGGGAGUCAAACAGG
rnacentral:rRNA from 1 species